rnacentral:lncRNA from 1 species
CAAGAAUUUUUCAUUGUUUUGUAUAUGACAGGAGACUGUGCAAUUGGGGAUGGCGUGAAGAAAUAUUUCUUUUCGCUAUGCCUGAAUAAGCUCCAAACAGGCCUACAUUUACACCUUGACUACACUGGUGGGAAAACAAUUCUGUUCAAUGGAGCGGCAGACCACUUGGUCCCAUCCACCUCCUUGCCAUUGCUCCAGGGGGAUCUGUUCCGCGUGGCAGGGAGAAUAAUUGGACAUUCUUUUUUAAAUCGGGGUCCACUUUUGAGAGGGAUGGGCCAGUGCCUUUUCCCUCUGCUGGCCACUAAGGACAUGGGGGCCAUAGACGCUGCAGUCUUGCAGGUGGAAGAUUGUCCAGAUUUGGACAUUGUGGAGAUUGUCAGCCUUGUAAGUGUAACAAUUCAAUUUGUGCUGCCUCUUUUCAUCUGCCCAUGUGUCAUCUAAUUGUUGACCAGUGUUGUAUACAAUGAUAACUGCUUUCCAACAGCUUGAAAGCCAGACUGUCCUGACCCCCGAAAAUGUGGACCAGGUGAACCACUUGGCCCUCAGCUGGGACCUGCCCAAUCUCACAGAGAACAACAGGAGGUUGUUGGCACAACAAAUCCUCCAUCAUGGGGUAUGAGCCCAAUCAAAUAUAAAAAUAAUAAGAAAGCUAUUUACAUGUACAGUAAAUGUGUUCUUGGAUACAGUAUGCUGCUAAAUAUGGUUUCUGGUGCCAUCUCCUUUCUAAAGGUAAUUGUCAGACGUGAGAGGCAAAUGGCGCAGUUGCGGAAAGGGCUGAAGGACACACGCGUCCUGGUAAUGUUAAAGGAACGGCCUGAACUGACAUCUGCCCUGUUCCCCAGAUCUGCCGAGGCAGAGCUGGAGCCAGAGGUAACCUGUCGUGCCUACAGACCAUGUACAGGGCUUGCAUGGUCGUGUUUUUAUAAUUCAUGUUCUCUUUCAGAUGAUAAUAGAACGGAUUGUGUGGCCAGAACCAGACAGCGAUGAAGAGGAAGAAAUUGAUGAUUACUGCAGUGUGGUUGCUUACUUGCGGCAGUACAUCAGCUUAGGUGAGAAAUAGCUACAGCGCUCUGUCUCACUUAUUCACACACACAGACACACACAAACCUCAAGCAAAAUGUUUUUUUUUGUUGUCUGUUCCUUAGCUUCAUCCUCCGAACUGCAGCAGCUUAUUGAGUUUUGGACGGGGUGGGCGGUACUGCCGGACGAGCUGUACGUCAGUGUUGACCGGGAUGCCACCUACCCGACAGCUUCUACCUGCUUCACCACAUUGAAAAUCCCAACAGGAUGUUGUUCCUACAGGGAUUUUUGUUUUAAAUUGGGGGCAGCCGUGAGCACCACUAAGUUUGGUUUUGGAAGGAUCUAGGUUUUGGGUCUUGGUUUCUAUCAUUUUACCUUGUCUUACUUUUUUAGUUCAUAUUGUUCAUUUUCACAGUUUGCAAUGUUAUAUUAUUAUACACUUUCAUCCAAAUCCUGCACUGCUGGAGCUAAACCGCAGUUUUCUAAGUAUGCCAAAAAGGGCGUUUCAAGC